GAGAGUUAAACAGUACGUGAAAUUGUUGAAAGGGAAACGAUUGAAGCCAGUCGUACCUUCGGGUAAUCAGCCUUUCGGGUGCGAUUCUGUGGAGUGUGAGGAGCUUAAACACCUUCAUGUUUUGCAUAUUCGUACUCUUGGGUGUACUUGCCCGUGUGGUUGGUUAACAUCAAUUUUGGUGGUCAUAAAAUGACUGGGGGAAUGUAGCUUCGAUCUUGUAUUGAAGUGUUAUAGCCUUCGGUAGAUGUGAUGAUCGAGAUUGAGGAUUGCAACGGAUACCCUUUGGGGCUACCUGUCUGAUCUCUGAUCGUUGCUUUGGUGCCGAAAGCUUGCUUACGGUUAUCAAAGUCGAUGGUCAAUAGGUUAGAACGGGUUAAAUUCGUUAAGGAUGUUGACAAAAUGGUUUUAAAUGA
rnacentral:rRNA from 1 species